rnacentral:rRNA from 1 species
UGAACGCUAGCUACAGGCUUAACACAUGCAAGUCGCGGGGUAACAUCUGGUAGAGCUUGCUCUUCCAGGAUGACGACCGGCGCACGGGUGAGUAACGUGUAUCCAACCUGCCCAUCACUUGGGAAUAACCUUGCGAAAGUAAGACUAAUGCCCAAUGACAUUUAUAGAAGGCAUCUGAAAUGAAUUAAAGAUUUAUCGGUGAUGGAUGGGGAUGCGUCUGAUUAGCUUGUUGGCGGGGUAACGGCCCACCAAGGCGACGAUCAGUAGGGGUUCUGAGAGGAAGGUCCCCCACAUUGGAACUGAGACACGGUCCAAACUCCUACGGGAGGCAGCAGUGAGGAAUAUUGGUCAAUGGGCGAGAGCCUGAACCAGCCAAGUAGCGUGCAGGAUGACGGCCCUAUGGGUUGUAAACUGCUUUUAUAAGGGAAUAAAGUGAGCCUCGUGAGGCUUUUUGCAUGUACCUUAUGAAUAAGGACCGGCUAAUUCCGUG